UGGGGAAUUUUGGACAAUGGGCGAAAGCCUGAUCCAGCCAUGCCGCGUGAGUGAAGAAGGCCUUCGGGUUGUAAAGCUCCUUUAGUCGGAAAGAAAGAGUUGCAAUGAAUAAUUGUGAUUUAUGACGUAC
rnacentral:rRNA from 1 species